UGUCAUCGUUUUAAUCUGAUUUCUAUUGCGAUAUAACGUUUUAGUCCUGACGCAGGGUCAACGCUGGGAAUAAGAUGAUGUUUUGGUGCGGUUUAAGGGCCUCAACCUGAAGAAAAGUAACUAACGUGGCGGUAGAGGACCGUAGAAGAGAGCGGAUGACGGGAGGAUCAGGGUGAUGAGGUGGGGGCGGUGUAUUUGGACUGCAAUCCCCGCAGCCAUCCUCACCUCACGGCUCACGCAUGAUCGUGCUGACGCGAAGACACCAUGAAAUGGCAUUCAAAAGCAAAGCGGUCGACACGAAGACCGUAUUCCUCAACCUGCUGCUCUGCCUGCUCAUCUUCUACUCUCUGUUUUACAUGAUCUGCAGUAUUUGUUUCGGUGCCUUCAGGUUGGAUGACUUCGAUGGACGGAUCCCUUUCGACUUCAAGACCAAGCCGGAGGAUUCUGUCUCGAAAUACUUGGUCAACCUGUUGUCCUUGGAGCUCACUUACUUCAGCAGUGGCUUGCUGUUUGCCGCUGUGGUGAAGAGGAGAGUGUGGGACUACGCUCUAACGGUCACUUGUCUGCACAUCUUCAUCACCAGCCUUGUGAUGCUGGAGUUUCCCCUGGCAUGGCAGUGGUGGUUGGCCUUAGGUAGCGGCUUGUUUCUGAUGAUCUGCAAUGGUCAGCUGAUUGCUUACUUUGCAUGCCAGGAUGAAAAAAGCUACGUUACGUUCACCGUCUAUUAAAUGUCCGAAAGCGUCUGGAGACCUUCCUCUCCAGUAAACCCUUUAAUAGCGAGCAGGCCGCCUCAGAUGUUCCACUACGCAGGCAAAGAGGUGAGGGACCUUCCUGGUGUCCUGGCUUUAAAUGAGAGGUCAAUGGAAUAACAAUUGUCAUAUUGUUUUUCAAUGUGUAUUUUAAUGGCAACUUACUGCUGGCAAAGUGGUUGAUAGGGGGAAAGUUUGUGUAUUACGUCCUUGAAGAGAGUUUUUCUCACCUUGUGCAGAGCUGAAAGCGGAAAGUUAGUUAUGUAACAAUUUAUCACUUUGCUGCCCAGUGCCCUCUGCCAUAUUUAAUUCAGCACACAAAACAUAUAAUGAGAGCUCUAGUUGACUUUUAUAAUGACGAAUAGUGGCAUUAUUUUAAAUUCUAAUUCUUUUGUUUUUAGCCAAAUGGGGCAAGGUACAAAUGUGCCCAAAGAGUAAUUUAAAACUGUCUCAUCUAAGUCUCAAAAUGUCCUUCACUAUCAGAAGCAGCGUUUAGUAAAGACUAAGUCAUUAAACGCAACUUGUAAUAAC